rnacentral:rRNA from 1 species
UACGCAGGGUGCGAGCGUUGUCCGGAAUUAUUGGGCGUAAAGAGCUUGUAGGCGGUUUGUCGCGUCUGCUGUGAAAUCUCAAGGCUCAACCUUGAGCUUGCAGUGGGUACGGGCAGACUAGAGUGUGGUAGGGGAGACUGGAAUUCCUGGUGUAGCGGUGAAAUGCGCAGAUAUCAGGAGGAACACCGAUGGCGAAGGCAGGUCUCUGGGCCACUACUGACGCUGAGAAGCGAAAGCAUGGGGAGCGAACAGG